ACUCCUACGGGAGGCAGCAGUGGGAAUAUUGCACAAUGGGCGCAAGCCUGAUGCAGCCAUGCCGCGUGUGUGAAGAAGGCCUUCGGGUUUGAUAAGCACUUUUCAGUCGUGAGGGAAGGUAGUGUAGUUAAUAGCUGCAUUAUUUGACGUUAGCGACAGAAGAAGCACCGGCUAACUCCGUGCCAGCAGCCGCGGUAAUACGGAGGGUGCGAGCGUUAAUCGGAAUUACUGGGCGUAAAGCGCAUGCAGGUGGUUUGUUAAGUCAGAUGUGAAAGCCCGGGGCUCAACCUCGGAAUUGCAUUUGAAACUGGCAGACUAGAGUACUGUAGAGGGGGGUGAG
rnacentral:rRNA from 1 species